rnacentral:piRNA from 1 species
GUGACGGAUAAUAUCCUUGCUGCACGGGA